rnacentral:rRNA from 1 species
CGAUUAGAGUUUGAUCCUGGCUCAGGACGAACGCUGGCGGCGUGCCUAACACAUGCAAGUCGAACGAGAAUCAACUUAUGAAGUUUUCGGAUGGAAUGAGUUGAGGAAAGUGGCGAACGGGUGAGUAACGCGUGAGCAAUCUACCUUGUACUGGGGGAUAACGUCGGGAAACCGGCGCUAAUACCGCAUAAUACUAUAAGUACGCAUGUACUGAUAGUCAAAACUCCGGUGGUACAAGAUGAGCUCGCGUCCAAUUAGCUUGUUGGUGAGGUAACGGCUCACCAAGGCGACGAUCAGUAGCCGGCCUGAGAGGGCGAACGGCCACACUGGAACUGAGACACGGUCCAGACUCCUACGGGAGGCAGCAGUGGGGAAUUUUGCGCAAUGGGCGGAAGCCUGACGCAGCAACGCCGCGUGGAGGAUGAAGGCCUUCGGGUCGUAAACUCCUGUCAGUGGGGACGAAUGCCUCGCAAGAGGUUUGACUGUACCCGUUGAGGAAGCCACGGCUAACUCCGUGCCAGCAGCCGCGGUAAUACGGAGGUGGCAAGCGUUGUUCGGAAUUACUGGGCGUAAAGGGCGCGUAGGCGGCUAGGCAAGUCAGGUGUGAAAGCCCCGGGCUUAACUCGGGAAUUGCACCUGAAACUGCCUUGCUUGAGUCCUGGAGGGGGUAGCGGAAUUCCCAGUGUAGCGGUGAAAUGCGUAGAUAUUGGGAGGAACACCUGCGGCGAAGGCGGCUACCUGGACAGUGACUGACGCUGAGGCG